UCGUUUUAUAUAAUUUAAAAGAAAGAGAUGGUAGGAUGGUAGCUAUCAAGCAAUGAAUAACAAUGUCGAUAUUAGAUAUUAUCCUCUCGAGAUUCCCAUUCCGUUCCCUUUUGCUAUUCAAAUGUUUCUGUAAACAAUUUCGUGCUCUCAUUAAUUCGAUCCCCUUCAAAACUUCUCUCCGCCACACAUUCAAAAUCAAGCCCCAACUCACAAUCCGUAUCAAAAAGUAAACAUAAAUAUGGAGUAUAUUCUAACUUUCAAUUUUGAACUUGUUUUCAUCGGAUUUCUGGGCCUUGCCAGGGAGAGGUGAGUGUUUUCUGGUGUAUGUGGCGGUUGUUAUGGAGGUAUGGGCGGAGAAGGACGACCAUUACGCCGCCUUCAUCUACGAAGCAUGUCGCAAAGUCUUUCACCAACUUUUUGGUAUGGUUCUUCUGUAUAACUCAAUUUCCUUUAUAUAUUCUCCAUCUAUUUCGUGCUUCUUACUUCUAAUAUGAAUUGCACAACUUCCAAUUACAGGCAAGAUGAAACCCUAGGAAAACCCCCAAUUUCUUUUGGCUAAAUUACCUUUAAAUUUGAGAGGAUGGAGGUCGGAUAUGUGUCCUUCAUAAUUGGAUUUGGUCUAAAAAGUAAAGUUAUAUGAUUUUUUUUUUGUUUCUGCCCAGUUAGAUUUGCCACGCCUUUAUUUCAUUGUUUUUCUUUUUCUUUUUCAUGCCACAUAUGGAAAAGAAUUGAAUCAAAAUUUAAUGGCGAUUUAUUUUUUUAACAGAAUGACACAAUUUUAAAAUUUUAAUUAGUUUAGUUAGGUAAUUGCACAAAUUAAAAGUUCAAUAGUGUAAUAAGCGAAACAUGCCAAGUAUAAUAGGGAAAUCAUUAGUUUUGCCCAUUAAAAUUUAAAUGCAUGGACGAAUUUAAUAUUUUAAUAUAAUUUUCUGCUUAUGACAUUUUUUUAUAUCCUGCUCUGUGUUUUAAUAUUUUAUUAGGAGGAUUUUUUUUAAAAAAUUGUAGUUGCUUUGUAGGUAAUGUGAUUAAAUCUAUCGAAUUAUAGUUUGUAUGGAAAUUUUUAGCUCUAAGAUGUUGCAAUUUACUAUUCACUUGUCCUUUUUCGGCGAUAGUAAUUAUUUCACCCUUAAAAUUGCUUUCUAAUUGUCUAUGUUCUUGUAGCCUGCUUCAUUUUGUUGUAUUUAACGUAUUACAAAAACAAUGAUAAGAAAUUAAUAAUCUUUUUGGGUUUUCUUGAGUUGUGUAGGUUACUGACGGGUCAUGAUUAGUUUACUAUUUCUGACACUUAUAGAGGGUUUAUAUUUGUCAAUUCGAAAAUCAUGACAGAAUAUUAUUGGCAUUGACCGAUCGAGCACAUUGCUUAAGGUUAUAUUAAAGGUUAGUGUCUUUCAUGUCUUGGUAUUUGUGAAAUUUUAUUGUCAUCAUUUCAAAGUUCCAUUGCAUGUAAUCAAAAGAAAAAUAGGUUUUAUCUAGCUGUGUAAGUUGGGAUUCUGUGGGAAGAGCGCAAAGGAGGAGACCAAUUUGGUGCCUCAUUGUCUAUACUAUAGUGGGUUAUUUAGAGGGAAAGUAACAGUUCCUGCCUCAAGAAUGAAGUGAAUUGUAAUUGUUCCUUUGUUCAGUUCUUGUUUUUGAGUUUAUUUGUUCUUCGUUGGGUCUGUAGAUGCCUUUGUUGAUUCCUUAGAGGAGUGAACAUGAUGUGGGUAUGUUUUAAGGUAUUCCUUGGUCAGGAGUUUUUUAGGCGUUUAUGUUUGUGAUUAAUCAUUCUGCCUUUUAGUAUUCUUGUGUGUACUUGAGAGGCAUUCCCUUUUGUAUCUUUUGAAUAUACUACUCUCUUCCAAAAUACAAGAUCAAUAUUGACCUUUUAAAAUCAAUUUGAAAAAAUUUCAAAUUCAAAAUUCAUAAGAAUUCAUUUAAUUUUUGUCAAUACAAUUAUGAAUAUUAUAAAUUAUUUAAAUUUAUUGUUUUCAAAUGUAAAUGAAUCAUUUAAAAUUUGAAUUUGAAAAACGUCUCAAAUUGAUUUUUGAAAAGUCAAUAUUGAUCUUAUAUUGGGGAACAGAGGGAGUAUAACUUAUUAAAAAUAAAAAGGGAUUCAGGAAAGAAAUUAUCCUCUUUCCUUUUCUUAUUAUUUUCAAAGUGCAAAUAUUAGCUUCGACGUUUUCAUGUUGAAGGGAAAUUAUAUUGUAUGAGAACUCUAUUUUCUCUUCUUCUUGAGAGAAGAGAAUAGAUUAUAUAUUCUAAAUUGUUUUAGUACUUGGUUCUCACAUUAUGGUAGGUAAUUUAGGAACCAAGUUUGGGUGCAAAUUGUUAUCCAUCAUCCUCUAUUAUCUUAUGACUCUAAGAAUGCUUAUUUAUUUUGUAGUUACACCUACCUUAAUUAUCGGGAUAAGUGAUAUAAACAAUGAGAUUAAAUUUAGAAUUGUGAGGGGUGUGAUAAUAUGAAUAGAAAAUCUGCCAAUAAGGUAAAAUGACGGUUGACAUACUAAGGUAAAAUAUUACUCCCUCCGUAUAAAAGUUCUUAUUACUAUUUUGGGUAGUCCCAUGUUAAAUGUCCAUUUUCCUUUAAUAACCAAACUUUUACACAUAUUUUCCUAUUAUACCCGUAGUAUUAAAUAUCUCAUACUUUUCUUAUUUUAAUUCUCUCUCCAUAUUUAAUGACAUUAUUAUAGGCAAUUUUGUCAUUUUAUUCAUUUUCUUAAUAUGCGUGAAAAGUCCACCAGGACUUUUAUCCUGGACGGAGGGAGUAAUAUAAAAGAUGAAUUUCAUAAUUUAGUAUGUGAGUAACUACUUUUAAUGCACAAUUUGUUGAGAAAGAUAAAAGGAGAAAAUUAUAAUAUACUAGGAUAGUAACUACUUUAAAGGAAAUGUUUAACAAAUAUAUAUAUUAUAAAAAAACAUAAAAGUGUUUAAACAGGAGCAUUGCACGUGGCACAAAUCUAGUAAAUGCUUAGAUCAAAACAUAACCUAGGGUUUUUACCACCGAUUCUUCGGCAGACUGCUAUAUCUCUCUUCCUCUCCGUCAAUCCUCUUAUGUGAUCGUACAGGGACGGGAUCUUUAUCUACACUUCUGAAGCACCCCAUAAAAUUAAAUUCUCAGGUUCUCUCUCUCACAUUAUUUUCAGUACUAUUCCAUUAAUCUAUUAGAGUCGAUAAUGGUUUUCUACAUAACAUUUCAUUCCUUCUCCUUAAUAAAACCCGAAGUUUUUAAUCUCUCUCAUUGUCCAUGCUCUUAGGUAGCAAUUCAAAUCUUUAAAUAUCUUUAUAUGAGUUUAUUACAUAAUUCUUGUUCUAGAUUUUGUGUCAAUUGAGGUUUGCAGAUACAUAAGAAGUUGGCGGUGAUUACAAAGUUUUGUUAAUCUACGUUCAAUUUCAGCUUUUUGGUGUCUCUCUCUAACGAUCCCAAAUUCCGACUAGAAUAUUACUAUUUUAUCGUUACUUAUAAUACAUAAGAAUGAAACUUGUUUGUAGAAUUUGAAUACUAUCUUUUCUCCCAUUUUUCUAAUUUUAGUCUUUCAGUAAACAUCCAAGCAAACUGGAAAAAAUAUACUUUCUCUCCUUUCUCUUCUGAGAUUGAUUCAGUCAAAGCCUUUGAUCUUCUCAAUUAAGCAAGUCCGUGGCUUCUCGUGGCUUUCUUUUUGUAAUCCUCUUUUUCCUGUCUUCUUCUUUUUCUAUCUAGUUCUUCCAUUUGAUUGGGAGAAAACAUAGUUGUGGCAUUCAGACUUCAGAAUUUGUUAAGGUACUUGUUACUUCAAUUUCAUCAUUGUGGGGUAAGAAAACAAUGAGGGAGUUGCGCUUCUCUGCAAGGGAGGCGACCAUAUCAAUAUCUUAAGUACCCGUAGAGAUUCUCAGUAAUAUCCUUUCAAGACUGUCAGUGAGAUCACUGUUGAGUUGCCAAUGCGUGUGCAAGCGCUUUCUCGCACUGAUCAGACACCCUAAAUUCAUAGCCAGCCAUCUCAAUAGCUCGACCCACACCACCACCUUUUGUUCUGUUUACCUUCGCAUCCUCGAUGAGAAUCACAGAAACCGUAUAGAUCACAUCCUGGUAGAGGACAGUUCUGUAUGUUCUGUUUCAUAUGUGAGACAAAGUAAUCCCAUCACGAGCCACAUAUCUAUAAUAGGUAGCUGCAAUGGUCUAUUUUGUGCUGAUCUUAGGACCCCUGGCGAACAGCACGGAUCUUUCAUUUUGUUGUGGAAUCCUGUUACCAGACAAAAUAGGUAUCUCCCCAAACCCCAAAUUGACGCUUCAGGUAGAGCACUGCAGCAUGUUCUUGCAUUUGGUUUCGUCCCUGAAACUACUGAUUACAAAAUUGUGAGAAUUGUUGACUAUUAUAGUUCUGGAAAUUCCUUUCCCUCACCAGAUGAUGUUUAUGUAAUGCAAAUGGAGGUGUACAAGAUGAGUACUGAUUCUUGAACCACCUUUGAGACAGCAACUUUGCCAUGUUAUGGGCCUAACAAUGUAUCCUUGGUGAUCAAUUCCUUUUCGCCCCUUCAUAUUUAUGACAACUAUAAUACUGUGUCUUUAAAGGGAGCAUUUCAUUGGGUUGCAGAUAAUCCAAGAAAUGUAGAUGAAACUAAUAUAGCGAUUGUGUCGUUUGACCUUAAAGAUGAGAAGUUGAAAGUGUUCACUGUGUUGGAUUCUCAUAGAAUUCCGUUCGUAGAGAAGGGGAAGCUUCUGAUAUUAAAUGAAUCACUUUCUCUGAUUGUUACUCACAGAAGCGAAAUUGACUCAGGAUUCGAUAUAUGGGUUAUGAAUGAUUAUGGGAUUCAGGAGUCUUGGACUAAGCAGUUUAGUGUUGAACAGAUUCCAGGACUUGCAUGGCCAUUGGGAUACUGGAAAGAUGAUCUCUUGCUUAUGUUUGAAUUUAUACAUAACAAGAGAAGGUUGUUUUUCUAUAACCUCAGUACCCAAGAUAGGAAGAACCUUCCAGAUCUGGGGUGUUUAUAUUUUUUUACGUUUUGUACUUAUGUUGAAACGCUUGUUCCAGUCACCCUAGGGAAUGCAGUUGCAGAAGAUGAUGAUCAGUGAGGUACAAUCCCAACUCAUAUCCGUUGACACCACAUAGUCGAUACUCUUAAACGCUUUUCUGAAUAAUAUAAUAUGAUUUGAUACUUGAAAAAAAGAAAGAAAAAAAAGAUGGUUUUUAUUGUCAUUUCUAAAUGCUAUUUUUAUUUGUCAAACAACAAAAAUCAAAGUUCUUUUGCUGAUUGAGUUCAUUACUUAUUUUUUUGACUUCUUUAAAGGAUCAUAUCUUUUUUUAUAUAUAUAGUUGCUUUGAAGGAAAUGUAAUUAAAUCUUUUGAUUGGAAUUUAAUUUGAGAAGUUUUAUGAAUACGGAAUUAGGAAAAAGUAAUGAUGAUAAUGAAUCUCUUCUGAAAUUCAAAGUGCAAGAUCAGAUUUAACAUUUUCAUAGUUAGGGGCAUUGGUGUUUCUAAUCAAUGAUAACCAUGUUUUUCAUACUAUAUAAUGAUGAAGGAGAAUAGCUUUAAAGAUUCAAAAGUUGCAGACUGAUUCCGACUCUAGAGUAAAAACAUGAAUUAUUUUUUCCUUUAGCCUCUUAUCGGCAUUUUUUAAGUUCAGAAUUUGAAGACUUAUGUUUUUUGUUCUUAAUAAACCUUACGAACAAGUGAGAAGCAUUGCCAGUAACUAGAUUGGCGGCAACUAUGGCUUUGUUUAGCCCUCGUAAAAAAUUAGUCUAUUUAGAUGCCCAAUUAGUUCUUAUGACAUUGUGGCAGAAUGUGAUUUUUAUGUGGUACAAAUUAUUAUUCUUCACACUUGCAGGUUUUGGUUUUAAAUUCUGCUGUUGCUAUGCAUUUUCUGUAGAUCUAAAUUACGAAAACUUAAGAAGACCUUUCCCCUUCAUUAUUAACUGAAGUUCUCUUAAAACAGAUUCUCUCAUUGUUGAGAUAGAACCGAAAAAUGUUGGCUAUCAGUCUAUAUGAUUCUUUUUUAAUAAAUGAGCUGUCUCUCAAAUUAUUAAGGUUGAUGAGAGUGCCAAUUUCUGUGGUAUUUUUGUAUAUAAUUUUACUUAAGAGGGUUGGGCUUCCCAUGUUUGUAGGUGUGUUUUGUUUUUCUUGUUAUGAGCUGUUUAUUAUUUGGGUUUUUGUUCUCUUUUACCCUUGUUACCUUUGUUCCAUAUGCAUUUACAAUUGGGGUUACAAUUUUUUAAACACCAGUGUUGCUUUUGGAUGUUUGGAACGUUUGACUUGAAAGUGUGAAUUUAACAGAAGUCACAAGCUUAUGUCAUUUCAAUUGACUUCAUUUUGGUGCAUUAUGAAAAGCCAUGAGGCAGUGACUUGUACAAGUGUCCUGAGUUCUUUAAGGAUUACUGUUUUCAUUACCCUUUCAAGAUAAUUUGCUUCUUUCUAGAAAUGAUCUCUUUUGUUUACUACUUUCAUGAUCUAGAGGAUUUACAUUUGGCAGUAUAAAUUGUUAGGUUUGUAUAUAGCGUAAUUAUGCAAUCAAAUCACAUAAAAGUAGCGGAAUCGCGAUAAAACGGGAUUUAAAUUUUUUUAUACAAACCAUCUCCAUGAUCAUAUUUUGUGCUCAAUUAUCAAUCUAAACGAAGAAGGAGAAUCAGAUUUAUACCCUUGUAGAAUCGUGCUUCCCCAGUUACGAGUUUGACUCCAAGUCCUUAGUGCUCUCCUUGAAUUCACCGUGUUUGAUUAUUUCCUUUGAUCAACGUUAGUUACCCAAACGUUUGACCUCUGGAGGUGAUCCACCAAGGAUGAACAAGUAUUCAAAAAUACGAGUGUUUGACAAAACUCUAGAUUUUAUCUCUAUAGAAUAUACACACUCUCCCAACUCUUGGAAUUAAGUGUGUAACUUGUGUAACCUAAUCCAUAAUAAAACUUUCUUAUUUAUAAAUGUAGACAACUCUCCUAAACCAUUUAGGAAUAGAGUUUUAUUUUAAUUAAUUAAACUCCUUUAAUUAAUUAGACUCUUAAUCCAAUUAAGAAUAUAUGAGAGUGCUUUUAUUAAUAAAUUUUCAAACUCUUUUAGGAAUUAAACUAAUAAUAAUAGCAAUAAUAAUAAUAAGACUUCUCUUAUUAAUUUAUAUUUAAUAUUUCCUAAAUAUUAAAUCUAAAUAUUAAAUAAUAAAUAUUAAGCUAUUUAAUUUAUUGUAUCACCAUAGAUUAAAUUAAAGAGUAAAGUUCAGAUCACCCCCUGAGGUUUGGGGUCUUUCUCACUUAACCACCUAUAGUUAGUAAAACUAUAUUUAAACUCUCGACUUUUUGAGUUGAAAUGAAUAAAUGCUUUCCGUCUUAACUCCGUUACUUGAGUUGACUAAAGACUUAAUUACCCUCUAUAUAUAUAUUGAAUUACCUGGCUAAAGACUUAGUUUUCCGGUGACACCGCCCGAAACUUCCGAUUCUCCGAUCGGAGCAUGGCAGCCUCAGAAUUCCUGUUUCCAAAUAAACCCACGUCAAAUUUUGCUGUUAUAGAGAACCCUUUUGGGGAAUUUGUAGUUCCAAUUACCUGGUGAGACGAUUUGAUGGAUAAAGAAAAGGGGCGUCUUCCUGCCGGAGAUUACCUGAGAAGGUAAUUUCUGGCGUGGCGAGACGAGUACUGGAAGGACUGCACUAUCUGCAUGGUAUACAGAUAGUGCAUAGAGAUAUUAAGCCAUCAAAUUUAUUGAUUAACAGAAGAGGAGAGUUAAAGAUUGAGGAUUUUGGAGCGAGUCGAGUCGUGGCAGGAAGGCCGGAAGAGUGCGAGUUGUAUGUGGGAACCUGGGCUUAUAUGAGUCGAUCCGGAGAGGUGGAAUGGGGAAUGUUGUAAUGGGUUUGCCGGAGAUGUGUGGUCACUUGGAGUGGUGGUGCUGGAAUGUCUUGUGGUCACUCGAAGCAGUUUCUAAAGCAUUGCCCCCAACUUUCCAGUUGAUGCAUCAACAUUCAUGGUCAUAAACACUGCUACUAAAAGGUACCGGAGGCUCAAGUUUAUUAUUUGAAACCAAUUAAUCAAAACUGCAGCAAGAAGUGGAGAGCUGAUUUCUUAUGAUCCCAGAAUCCAACAAGGUAUGAAUCUUGGAAUUAUUGGCACUAGAUAUUCAUUUUAUGUUGAUAUGUAUGCAGAAAGCCUUGCUUUAUUCCUUGAAGGGGAAAAAGUAAGUGCAUGACUUGAAUUAAGCAGCGAAUCUGAUUCAAGUGAAGAGGAGGAAGAUGAUGAUAAUGAUGGAGUAGAGAAGAAUGAGUUGUUUGGCUAUCUACAUUAUUCAAGUGCAUUAGGCUCAUUUGCAUAGGGUAAUGAAUUGUUUGGCUAUCUAUAUUAUUGGUUCAAUGUUGUAGAAACUGCGAAAGUAAUGGAAAAUUGAUUGUGCUAUAUACUGUUGGAUUGCCCACAAGUGUUAUGCUGGUGCAUCUGUGCGCCAUGAUAAAUAAAUUCUAGUCCAAGACUCCAAGGUUGUGAUGAUCACUGGUUAAAACAUCCAUCUACAUCAGCAGUGAACAGUUUACUCCAAGACUCAACCACACCAUAUUCUUUCAUCACCCAAAUGGAACAAUACUCGCUCCACCUUAGCCUAUCACAUUCAAACAAAGCCAGUGACUCCCCAAUUUUUGCUGUAAACAUAUUCAUAGGAGAUUUGUGCACCAAUUCUUCUGGUAACAACAUCUCAUUAAACACCUCAUCACGCAUAUCAAACGACAUAAUCAAACAGUUCAACUUGCUACCAAGCCCUUCACUCCAAUGAUACGCAACCCAAUGCACAACCCCAUUGAUAAAAGCCUGUGACUAAUAGUACUCCACGAUACGAUACCUAGGAGGAGGACCACCAAUGCCUCUCCACGCCCUACCCUUAACCAUAUAAACGUCAACUUUAUGAGUCACAUUAUCUCCUUGAAAAUACCCAAUUCUAACAACCUUGUAAUCAUCAUUCUUACAAUCAAACCCAAAACCAAGAACAACCAUAUUCAUUGACACUUGCUCUAACAUAAAGCUGGGAAUUGGAAGAGUCAAUUUUCGUUUAAUUGCAGGGUUCCAUAAAAUUACAGUAUUUGUGUACCCAAAUAAAUCAUCAAACAAACAAAGCAAACCAUUGCAAGAACCCACAAUUCUGAAGUAAAAUCUAGGCAUACCCCAAAUGGGAACUUGAUUUUAACAUCAGAAUCUAAGUCGAACGAGUCGGUAUCAAAAUGUACCGCAUAAAAUUCUUUGUUUUGAAUUGGGGAGUAGCUUCUAAUGAGUCUGCGAGGUUUGUAGUUGUGAUUGAAAAGGGCGAGGUGGUGGUGUGUGCAUUGUGAUGAAAUUGGGGCAUGUAAUUAGAGAGCACCAUAAUUUGGAUACGCACCUGAAUCGUAGCAGAGAUUUUGGGGAUAGCCAUGAGAUGAUUUGUACCACCACUUCUCUCUUCUUUUCAGUUUGGGUGUUUAAUGUUUUGAUAAAUAAUGGAUGAGGAGGGGGUACUCUGGUUCACCUUCUUUCCAUUUAAAUAUGACUGUCUUCAGAAAUUAAUUUCAUCCGUUGGAAGAGAAGGGGGUAUUUCGGACAUUUAUCAUACUUUUUUGACCGUUACAGCCACUUUUCACGCGCUUUUGGCAUCUGACAUAGACGCACAGUUAAGUUGGAUGGAAAAGGUGAUGUUUUCACUUCAACUCAAAAAGUCGGGAGUUUACAUGUAGCUUUACUGACUACAGGUGGUUAAGUGGGAAAACCCCAAACCUCAGGUGGUGAUGUGAACUUUAUUCUAAAUUAAAUACACUUAACUUAUUAUUACGAUCAUGCUAUUUACUUCUUAAAUAAAUAUUUUUUCUUUCAUGGUGCGCCCUAUAGGUUCUCUAUAUUAAACCAGUUGUGAAUAAAUCAAUUAGAACAAUUUUAAUCUUAUUUAAAUAAAUAAAUUAAACUAAUUAAUUCAUUUAAAUAAAUAACAUUUAUUUUACAAUUACGGUUAGUCCCCUUAGCAAUUAACAAUUUUCCAGAUAAUAUAAAUUUCAACAUUAAUCAUAAAAGAACCUUUCAAUGUUCUAAAAGAUGGGAGGCCGGGGGCCUAGGCGGGAUUUUAUUUUUUAAGUCAAUUUUAAUAUUUUAUCUUACAUUUAUCUAAACAAAACAAUAAUAUAAAGCAAAACAAUCUAUAAUAAAGAUAAUAAAGGCUUUUGCUUAAAGUUUAAACACAUAUCUUUAACGUAUUAGUUUUAUUCAUAAACAAGAUUGUUUUUAAAUAAUAAAAUUUAAAAUUUUAAGAAUUCAAUUCAAUAUUAAAACUUAAGAAACUAAACAUAAAUUUAAGAAUUAUAUUGAUUUAAACUAAAUAUUACAAAUGUAUUAUCAUUUAUAUAAUUUGAAGUUGGUACAAGUUCAAAAAAUUACAACUAUAACAAAAUUAUCCAUUUUUACAUGAUCUUGUUAACUUUUUGUUGUGAUUUGAUAUGCUACAACAUGCAUUAUGAAUAUGAUAAAUCAUUAGAAAAAUAAAUAUAUCAAGAUCUGGUUUGGGUAGUUAUUAAAAAAAAAAAAGAAACUCCGACUAGGCCCUGUCUAACCCGCCCGCCUAGACCCCACCUAAUUUUCUGAAGGGAUUUUUUUGGCCUAGGCGAGGCGGUAGAGAGGGGCCUAGUGCCUAGGCGGCCUUUAAGUAAAUAAUUACUGUACAAUUCAAUCAUUCUAUCAUACAAUGUCCCAAUUAAAUAUAAGACAUGGAAUCGUAGAGUUGAGCGUUGAGUGUUCUUCAGUGUUCAAAUUAAGCAAUUAACGUUCAUCAAAUUAGCAGAUGAAAGAAAUUAAGCAAGUAUUGAACAAAAUGCUGAAGAACACUCAACGCUCAACUCUACGAUCUGAAAAGGAAAGCUUGCUCAGCUACUCAGUUCUUUCGAACACAAGCUUAACGGCAACUGAGUAGCACCAUUCAAGAACUCAAUUAUUAUCAAGUGAGGAAGAAGUUCCAAGUCAGAAGGACUUGAAGAGUUCUAAGUGAAUUGAGAAGUACCAAGUGCUGGACUUGAAGAGUUCAAUAGUGAACUAAGAAGUUCCAAGACUGCUGGUCUUGAAGGAAUCUGUGAGAUUCAGAAGUUUUAAAGAUAUUCUUAGUGGAUUUUCUACUCGAGGAGUAGAAGAGUGUAUUAGAAGCUUUGAAUGCUCUAAACCACUUAAAAUCACCGUCUCUUGUAUUCUUGCCAUAACUGCUAUAACUGUCAUAACUGCUUUACUCUUAUUAAUUCAUUAUAUUUUGAAGAGAAAACAAACAAAUCUUAAGUCCCCUGUGCUUAAAUCAUUAUUAAAACUAACAAGUAUUUUGAAAAGAAAGAAUUUAAAAUAUCUAUUCAACCCCCCUUCUAGAUAACUAUUAUGCCUCUAGAAACUAACAAUUGAUAUCAAAGCAGGUUCUAUCAAAUAGCCUACAAAGCUUAAGUAGAUCCAAUGGCAUAUCUGAUAAGCGAAUCAAAGACUGGAGGAGAAAACAAGCCACCUAUGUGUAACAAAGAUAAGUUCACCAACUGGAAAGUUCGUAUGCAACCCUACAUGGAUUCAAUAGAUGAAGAUCUAUUUUAAACUGUUCAAAAUGGGCCCUACAUUCCUACCAAGCUUGCUCUUACUGUAGACGACCCAAACAGAAUUCAGAUCAAGGUCAAAGAAGAAUGGACUGACAACGAAAGGAAAGCUGUCCAACUCGACAAAAAGGCCAAGAACAUCUUAUUCCAAUCUUUAGAAGAUGACCUGUUUGAGAAUGUGGUCAAUAGCAAAACAACAAAGGAAGUAUGGGAAGCAUUGCUCAUCAUGCAUGAAAGGAACAGAAGAAGUCAGAGAAAACAAACAAUCUCUCCUGACUCAACAAUAUGAAAUGUUUGUACACGUUCAAGGAGAAAAUGUCACUUCCACCUACGAAAGAUUCAAUGUACUGCUCAACUUUCUUCGAGCCUAUGGAAAAAUCUAUUCAAAUAAAGAUCUAAUCAUAAAGUUCAUGAGAGCUUUACCUAUCAAGUGGGAUGUCAAAACCACUGCAAUCAGAGAGUCAAAGAAUAUCCAUGAAAUGACUGUUCAACAGUUAUAUGGCAACCUUCUCACAUAUGAACUGGAGCUGACUUAACGAGCAGAAACUCUAUCUGAAGGAAGAAAGAAAGUCAAAGGAGUUGCUCUCAAAGCAACAGAUAACAUUUCCAAAGCUAACAUUGAGAAUGACUCUGACUAUGAUGAAGAUGAUGAGGAUUUUGCAAUGUUGGUGAAAAGACUCAGAAGGUUCAUGCGUCAAGGCAAAAGCAGCAAACCUAAGAAGUUCAACAACUACAACAGCCAGGAACAAAUAAACGACUUAUGCUACAACUGUAAAAAGCCUGGCCAUUUCAGUGCAAACUGCAACAAGCCUCUCAGAGAAGAACUCAAGAAAAGAUCAAAUUCAAAGAAAGAAUUCAAAGGCAACAAGAGGCUCCAGAAGAAAGAUAAAGGUCUUGUAGCCAGAGGAUCGUGGAGUGACUCAUACAACGACUCAACUCCCGAAUCUGGAGAUGAUGAAGAUCCUUAAGUGGCAAAUCUUUGUCUGAUGGCCAAACAUACAAAGGAUAAGAAGAAAUCUGACAUACAUGAAGUAAGUAUAGAUGAGGUAUUUGACUUUAACUCUCCUGAUGUAGACAUUGACGACUUAAGAACUGCUCUACAUGACAUAACAUCUGAUCUGCAUCAAUACAUGAAAUGGUUCAGAAUUUUGUCCAAAGAUUAUUCUCUUUUUCAAAAAGAGAAAGAGAAAGUUCAAGAAGAAUUGGAAACAACUCUUCUAAGUACUAACUCUCUCUCCAAACUUGAAGCUGAGAAUAAGUUCUUAAAACAGACUAAUGAACUUAAUGCACAAAGAGAGUCAAGUCUGACCUCUAAAAUUGAGGAACUAGAAAGGACAAUCUCUACAUGGAAUAAAUCAUCUUGACUUCCUGAUCUCCAGUCAGAGAAGUUUAUCUAACAGAACAAGUUUAGGUUUUGGGGAACCCACCUCAGAACCAUAUAUGGAAAAGAUAAAGGAAACUAGCUCUAGUAAUGUUUUACGUUUUAGUAGAAGCAUUACAUUUGUGAAAUCCUCACAGAAGGAAGAACCAGUCCAACCCUCCUCUUCAGUUCCAACCUAUGUUCCAAGGAAUAAAGGAUCUCAUGUUGGUCUAGGUUUCAGAAAAGAGAAGAGUAACUCAGUCUCUACUCUCCAACCUCGAAGGGUCGUAGAGUCGAGUAAAAUCGACUCCACAAACCAACUGGGAAGAAACAGUAGGGUUAAGCCUCACUCUUCACGAAUCAUAAAACAUAAGGACACAUGGAAAAAGGAAAAUAAGUAUAAAGGAAGGAUUGCUGAAAAAUCACAUAAGUCCAAAUGGAGGAAGAAUCCACACACACAAAAGCAUGCAUUAUAUUAGAUGUUUUGUAUGUAAUAAAACUGGUCAUAAGGCGGCAUAUGCUACCAUAAUCCUAUGCAUGUGAAAUCCAUAAUUAAGCAAAUCUGGGUUCCCAAGGGUACUAACAAAGUAGGACCCAUGCAAGUAUGGGUACCAAAAUGAAAAGUUUAAUAUUACCACAGGAAUAGAACUCCACGAUCACAACCUGAUAUCUGGACUGUGGAUGCUCAAGGCACAUGACACGGAACAAAUUCCUUCUGUCUAAUUACAUAGAGAAGGAAGGUUCGUCAGUCAUCUUCUGAGACAAUAGCUCUGGCAAGACAAGAGUAUAUGGCUCAGCUGAGAAUGGUGCAGUAUCUUUCAGUAAAUUAGCCUAUGUGGAAGGUUUACGACACAAUCUUCUGAGCGUAAGCCAACUCUGCGACAAGGUUCAUCAAGUCACUUUUCUCAACAAUCAAUGUCAAGUCAGAGACCUGAAGACAUCCUCUAUAAAGUUGACUGGAACAAGAGAAGGCAACGUAUAUACUGUUAAUCUUGAUCAACUAAGCUCGGACGAGACAAUAUGUUUUCUGGCUAAAGCAUCUGAAGAAAUGGGCUGGCUAUGGCAUAGAAGAUUGUCUCAUCUCAACUUCAAAAGCAUGUCUAAACUGGCCUCAAAAGAUCUAGUUGCAGGUUUACCCAAGUUCAGCUUCGUCAAAGAAAGACCUUGCAAUGCCUGUCAGCUUGGAAAGCAUAUUAGAAGCUCAUUUAAAAGCAAAACUGUCAACUCAAUUGACAAGCCCCUGCAGUUGCUUCACAUGGAUCUAUUUGGGCAAUUCCAACGACUACUCUUUGAGGGAAGAUAUACUCAUUGAUCGUAGUGGAUGACUACACCAGAUUCACAUGAGUGUUCUUUUUAAACUUAAAAGAUGAAACUAGCUCUCAACUAAUCAAAAUGUACAGACUAGUGAUGAAUGAUAGAGAGGAGAAAAUCAAGGCUAUAAGAAGUGAUCAUGGCAGAGAAUUCAACUUCUCUGAGAUGAACCAGUUCUGCACAGACAAUGGCAUCAAUCACAACUUUUCAGCUCCACGAACCCCUCAGCAAAACCGAGUAGCUGAGAGAAAGAACAGAACGUUGAUAGAGGCUGGAAGAACUCUACUAGCAGCAACCCAUCUGCCUGAAUACUUCUGGGCAUAAGAUGUCAACACUGUAUGCUACACUCAGAAAAGAUAUCUUGUACACUUUACGUUAAAAAAGACUCCCUACGAACUAUGGAGAGGAAGAAAGCAAAAUGUCAGCUACUUUUAUGUGUUUGGCUGUGCAUGCUAUAUACUCAACAAUGGAAAACAGUAUCUGACAAAGUUUAAACCCAAGUCUGACGAAGGAAUCUUUCUCGGAUAUGCCACAGACAGUAAAGCUUAUAGUGUUCAACAAGAAAACACCAAGUGUUGAAAUCUCAAUUCACAUCAUCUUUGAUGAAACAGACUUGGACAAAACAAUGUCUCAAGACACUACGAAUGACAAUUCAGACACUACGAACGAGGUCGUCGAGCUCAACACCACGAUCGUAGUUCCAGAAAAUGAAAUCGUUGAGCAAGAAUAGGAGAUCGUAGAGAGAACUACGUAAGACAACAAACCUCCACGUCAAGAAGCUGGAAUUGAUCUUGAAGGUCUCAGACAAGAAGGCAUCAGGACAUAUGUUCCAACAGGAAAUAGAUGUGCAAGAGAUCACACUCAAGACUUAAUCAUUGGAGACCCAAAUGCAAAAGUCAAAACAAGAGCUGCCACCCAAAAUGAGUGUUUAUAUUUGAGCUUUCUGUCACAAAUGGAACCCAAGAAGAUAGAAAAUGCUAUGGAAGACUCCAGCUGGAUAGAAACCAUGCAGGAAGAACUAAAUCAGUUUGAAAGAAGCAAAGUAUGGAGAUUAGUUCCAAGACCAAAGAGUCAUCCUGUCAUUGGCACCAAGUGGGUCUUCAGGAACAAGAUGGAUGAAGAUGGAGUAAUAACAAGGAAUAAGGCAAGACUAGUGGCCAAAGGUUACUCUCAGGAAGAAGGCAUUGACUACGAUGAGACCUUUGCACCUGUUGCCAGAUUAGAAGCUAUCAUAAUAUUCCUUGCCUUUGCUGCAAACAUGAAAUUCAAAGUUUUUCCGAUGGAUUUCAAAAGUGCAUUCCUGAAUGGUGAACUCCAAGAAGUAUAUAGAUUAGACAAAGCCCUAUAUGGUCCUAAACAAGCACCUAGAGCAUGGUAUGAAACAUUAACUAACUUUCUUAUUGAAAAUGGGUUCACUAGAGGUAGAGUAGACACCACAUUAUUUCUUAGAAAGCAUAAAGAUAAAAUCUUAUUAGUUCAAAUAUACGUUGAUGACAUUAUCUUUGGCUCUACUGAUGAAAAAUUAUGUAAGAGAUUUGCUAAGCUUAUGUAGAGCAAGUUUGAAAUGAGCGUGAUGGGUGAGCUGAACUUCUUCCUCGGACUGCAAGUAAAGUAGACUAAUGAAGGAAUCUUAAAGUACAUUAAAAAUUUACUUAAAAAGUAUGGCAUGGAAUCAGCCUCCCAUGAAAACCCCAAUUGCUCCAGUAACUAAGCUUGACAAAGUUGAAAAAGGUAAAAGUAUUGAUAUAACUCAAUACAAAGGUAUGAUAGGCUCUCUUCUAUAUCUAACUGCCAGUAGAUCAGACAUAAUGUUUGCAACAUGUAUAUGUCUAGAUUUCAAGCUAAUCAUAAGGAGUCGCACAUAAUUGCAGUAAAAAGGAUUUUCAGGUAUCUCAAGGGUACUCCUCACUUGUAACUUUGGUAUCCCAAGGAGUUCUCCUUUGAACUAAUAGGAUAUACAGAUACUGACUUUGCAGGUUGCAAAAUAGAAAGAAAAAGUACCAGUGGCACCUGUCAAUUGCUAGGAAACAGACUUGUGUCCUGGUUUAGCAAAAAGCAAAACUCAGUAUCUACAUCAACAGCAGAAGCUGAAUAUAUUGCUGCUGGUAGCUGUUGUGCUCAAAUCUUAUAGAUGAAAAAUCAACUAGCAAAUUAUGGGUUUGAUUUCAAAUCUAUACCUGUUCAUUGUGAUAACACAAGUGCCAUAGCAAUAACACACAAUCCUGUCAUGCAUUCUAGGAAUAAGCAUAUAGAAAUAAGAUAUCAUUUUAUUAGGGAUUAUAUUCAAAAUGGAACAAUAUCUUUACAAUACAUUCCUACUGAAAAUCAACUUGUUGAUGUCAUUACAAAGCCUCUGGAUGAAUCUAGAUUUAAUAAAUUAAUAAGUGAGCUAGGCAUGCUAAAUCUACAACCAUAAAAUCUAUGCUCUAGUCUGUGCUAACCAUGCAGAUAUAAAGGCUAUGUUCAAAAUCGUAGACAGGACCAAAAAAAGUCCACGAUCAUAGAGUUGCAAUGACAUGAAAGACCACGAUCGUAGAGCCUCCUCAACAUGACAAAGAAGCAUCCCGUGAUGACAAAAGUUCCAACAAAUCCAAGCAAUCUCUCUGUCAAGCGCCUCAAGGACAAACCUAAUUCUUAGUUCAUUCUAAGAGGUUGACCCUUCUUAAGCUACCUUAACUCGGAAGAAAUGCUAAGUCAAAAGUUCAUCACAAGGAACAGAGCAGAUAAUGUUCGUAGAGCAGAUUCAGCAGUGGACUCAACUAUCAUAAUGACAACCUUAAUGACCAUAGUGCUACCUCGACGAUUGUAGUCCUCCCAAAGACUACACUAGCUCAGGAGGAGCUAAGGGUAGUAUUUUCCACACAAGUUAAAAUCGUGGAGCCAAGCAGAACUCGACACAUGUCCCACUACGCAAAUCGAGUGGAGGGAAGUUUCAAGUAUAGUUUAAAAAUGCCUUUUUGAAAACUCACCUCAGAAGUUCAAAAAACUUAUUUCUCUCUCUACCAGCAAAAACCCUAGCUUUCAAAAUCGCUCAAUCAUCCUCAGUACAAAGAAAUCAAUGGCGGCUUCAAAUGCCAUCACUGGUUACCGACUCUGUUUUGAUGAGUUCAAGACAGCUGAUCCCAAAUUUUACAAAACAUUAUCUCUGAUAAAGAAAGCUGGUCUUGAAGAAGCUCUGGGUACAAGCACAUGGAUCUACCCAAAGCUAAUAAAAGAGUUCUACAGGAAUGGAACGUUUGAGAACGAUGUCAUCACCACAAGGGUCAAGGAUGUGGAAUUUAAACUCAAAGCUGAGGAUAUAAACCUAGUCCUAGGUUUCAAAUCGAAAGGAUUUCCAUUCAUACAAGGCAUCGAUUUUCAUGAAGGAUUAAAAAAGAUGCAUCACAAAAAGUUUCCGACUGUCAGAGGGUACAAAAAGAAAGAGUUCCUCCAAAGGUAUGAAUUUUUGGCUGACAUUGUUGGGAAAUGCAUAUGCUGCAAGAGCUCUAGCCAUGACUCUGUGAACGAAGUGCAACUUAAGCUCAUGACAUCAAUCAGUUGUUGGAUUCAACUCAACUAUGGAGCCCUAUUACUCGACUGGAUUGGGAAAUGGAUACUCAGUUCGAAGAAGUCAAAUUGCUCUGGAAAGAUGCUCUACGGGAGAUUUAUAAGCAUCAUCCUAUAGUCAGCAAUGGGAGACAAGAUUGGGGAUGAUGAAGGAGAAUCCAUCAAUCCAAACAGAAGAAUGACUUAGUAGCUGUUUGAGAACUGGAAAAGAAAUCUAGCAGAAAAUGUAAGGAUGAUGUCCGAGUUCAGUGGAAGAACUGGUGAUGCAAAGGAGUCCGGGAUUCUAUGAAACAUGUCAGUUGUAAAGGAGACUGAAGAAGAAAAAGAAGAAAUUAACAAGGAAAAACCCAUUGCUUUAAUCAGAAAAAGCAAGGGUAAAAGAAAAAUGAAGGCUCAAAUGGCAGAGGAGCCUCAAGGUUCAACUACUGAUCUACCUCAAGAGUGUUCUGGCACUGAAACUCUGAGGAACUUGAAAAGGAAAGAACAACAGUCUGAUGAAGAUGAAGACAGAGCUACCAUCUCUUAACUACUUAAGAAGAGAAAACACAGUUCACUCAGUCAUAAGUCAAAGAAGCCAUUUGUCUCCUCGAUCGUAGAGUCUCUACCGAUUGUAGAGAUCAGACUGGACACCACUCCCGAAGAAGAUGCUGCAACAGCUUCUCAGGCUGAUCAAACCAUUCAGAGCUGAAGCUGAAGAAAGUGUUGUGGCUCUUGACGAACUGAGGGAGAUUCCUGAUGAUCUCUUGGCAGUUCCUCUUCAGGUGCAACUUCUUCUGACAUAGGGACUUCAUGAUGCUCCCCCUCUGCUAGAUCAUUCAUUUGCAUUUCACACAGCUGCCCCUCAGCUAGAGCAUUCUCUAGAGUAAGAACUUCAGGCAGCUCCCCCUCAACUUGAGCUGUGUUCUUCUGACUUGCUUCAGAUAGUCCCUUCUCAGCUUCGGGUAAUCCUUUCUCAGCAGCUAUCUUUAUGUCUUCUUCUUUUAGUAUUCCUUCAUUGACAAAGAUGUACUUCUUGACCAAUUUUCUUCUUGGCUUCAUAGGCUGAGCCACAACACUUUCUUCAGCUUCAGCUCUGAAUGGUUGAUCAGCCUGAGAAGUUGUUAUAGCAUCUUCUUCGGGAGUGGUGUCCAUUCUGGUCUCUACGAUCGGUAGAGACUACGAUCGACGAGACAUAUGGUUUCUUUGACUUGUGACUGGGUGAACUGUGUUUUCUCUUCUUUAAGCAGUUGAGAGAUGGUAGCUCUGUCUUCAUCAGAAUGUUGUUCUUUCCUUUUCAAGUUCCUAAGAGUUUCAGUGCCAGAACACUUUGGAGGUAGAUUAGUAGUUGAACCUUGAGGCUCCUCUGCCAUUUGAGCCUUCAUUUUUCUUUUACCCUUGCUUUUUCUAAUUAAAGCAAUGGGUUUUUCCUUGUUGAUUUCUUCUUCUUCAGUCUACUUUACAACUUACAUGUUUCCUGGAAUCCCAGACUCCUUUGCAUCACCAGUUCUUCCACUGGACUUAGACAUCAUCCUUACAUUUUCUGCUGUAUUUCUUUUCCAGUUCUCAAACAGCUGCUGGGUCAUUCUUCUGUUUGGAUUGAUAGAUUCUCCUUCAUCAUCCCCAAUCUUAUCUCCCAAUGCUGACUGUAGGAUGAUGCUUAUAAAUCUCCCGUAGAGCAUCUUUCCAGAGCUCUUUGACUUUUUCGAACUGAGUAUCCAUUUUCCAAUCCAGUCGAGUAGUGGGGCUCCAUAGUUGAGUUGAAUCCCACAACUGAUUGCUGUCAUGAGCUUAAGAUGCACUUCGUUCACAGAGUCAUGGCCAGAGCUCUUGCAACAUAUGCAUUUCCCAACAAUGUCAGCCAAAAAUUCAUACCUUUGGAGGAACUCUUUCUUUUUGUACCUUCUGAUAGUCGGAAACUUUUUGUGAUGCAUCUUUUUUAAUCCUUCAUGAAAAUCGAUGCCUUGUAUGAAUGGAAAUCCUUUCGAUUUGAAACCUAGGACUAGGUUUAUAUCCUUAGCUUUGAGUUUAAUUUCCACGUCCUUGACCCUUGUGGUGAUGACAUCGUUCUCUAACGUUCCAUUCCUGUAAAACUCUUUUAUCAGCUUUGGGUAGAUCCAUGUGCUUGUACCCAAAGCUUCUUCAAGACCAGCUUUUUUUAUCAGAGAUAAUAUUUUGUGAAAUUUGGGAUCAACUGUCUUGAACUCAUCGAAACAGAGUCGGUAACCAGUGAUGACAAUUGAAGCCGCCAUUGAUUUCUUUGUAUUGAGGAUGAUUGAGCGAUUUCGAAAGCUAGGGUUUCUGCUUGUAGAGAGAGAAAUAAGCUUUUUGAACUUCUGAGGUGAGUUUUCAAAAAGACAUUUUUAAACUAUAAACAUUUUCUAUCUUCUUGGGUUCCAUUUGUGACAGAAAGCUCAGAUAUAAACACUCAUUUUGGGUGGCAGCUCUUGUUUUGACUUUUGCAUUUGGGUCUCCAAUAAUUAAGUCUUGAGUGUGAUCUCUUGCACAUCUAUUUUCUGCUGGAACAUCUGUCCAGAUGUCUUCUUGUCUGAGACCUUCAAGAUCAAUUCCAGCUUCUUGAUGUGAAGGUUCGUUGUCUUGCGUAGUUCUCUCUACGAUCUCCUAUUCUUGCUCAACGAUUUCAUUUUCUGGAACUACGAUCGUGGUGUUGAGUUCGACGACCUCGUUCGUAGUGUCUUGAGACAUUGUUUUGUCCAAGUCUGUUUCAUCAAAGAUGAUGUGAAUUGAGACUUCAACACUUAGUGUUUUCUUGUUGAACACUCUAUAAGCUUUACUGUCUGUGGCAUAUCCAAGAAAGAUUCCUUUGUCAGACUUGGGUUUGAACUUUGUCAGAUACUGUUUUCUAUUGAGUAUAUAGCAUGCACAGCCAAACACAUGAAAGUAGCUGACACUUUGCUUUCUUCCUCUCCAUAGUUCGUAGAGUGUCUUCUUUAACGUAGAGUGUAGAAGAGAUCUGUUCUGAGUGUAGCAUGCAGUGUUGACAACUUCUGUCCAAAAGUAUUCAGGCAGAUGGGCUGCUGCUAGUAGAGUUCUUCCAGUCUCUAUCAACGUUCUAUUCUUUUUCUCAGCUACUUCGUUUUGCUGAGGGGUUCGUGGAGCUGAAAAGUUGUGACUGAUGCCAUUGUCUGUGCAGAACUGGUCCAUCUCAGAGAAGUCGAAUUCUCUGUCAUGAUCACUUAUUAUAGCCUUGAUUUUCUCCUCUCUCUCAUUCAUCACUAGUCUGAACAUUUUGAUUAGUUGGGAGCUAGUUUCAUCUUUUGAUUUUAAAAAGAACACCCAUGUGAAUCUGGUGUUGUCAUCCACUACGAUCAGUGAGUAUCUAUUCCCUCCAAGACUCGUUGGAAUUGCCCAAAUAGAUUCAUGUGAAGUAGCUGCAGGAGUUUGUCAAUUGAGUUGACAGUUUUGCUUUUAAAUGAGCUUCUAGUCUGCUUUCCAAUCUGACAGGCAUUGCAAGACCUUUCUUUGACGAAGCUGAAUUUGGAUAAGCCUGCAACUAGAUCUUUUGAGGCCAGUUUAGACAUGCUUAGUUGAUCAAGAUUGACAGUAUAUACGUUGCCUUCUCUUGUUCCAGUCAACUUUAUAGAGAAUGUCUUCAAGUUUCUGACUUGACAUUGAUUGUUGAUGACCCUUGUCGCAGAGUUGGCUUAUGCUCAGAAGAUUGUGUUGUAAACCUUCCACAUAGGCUACUUUACUGAAAGAUACUGCACCAUUCCCAGCUGAGCCAUAUCCUCUUGUCUUGUCAGAGCUAUUGUCUUCGAAGAUGACUGACCAACCUUCCUUCUCUAUGUAAUUAGACAGAAGGGCUUUGUUCCUUGUCAUGUGCUUUGAGCAUCCACUGUCCAGAUAUCAUGUUGUGAUCGUGGAGUUUUGUUCCUGUGGUAAUAUUAAACUUUUCAUUUUGGUACCCAUACUUGCAUGGGUCCUACUUUGUUAGUACCCUUGGGAACCCAGAUUUACUUAAUUAUGGGUUUCACAUGUAUAGAAUUAUGGGUUUCAAGUCCAGCAAACUUGGCACUUCUCAGUUCACUUAAAACUAUUCAAGUCCUUCUGACUUGGAACUUCUUCCUUCACUUGAUAAUAGUUGAGUUCUUGAAUGGUGCUACUCAGUUGUCGUUAAGCUUGUGUUCGAAAGAACUGAGUAGCUGAGCAAGCUUUCCUUUUCAGAUCGUAGAGUUGAGUGUUCUUCAGCGUUCAAAUUAAGCAAUUAACGUUCAUCAAAUUAGCAAAUGAAAGAAAUUAAGCAAGUAUUGAACAAAACGCUGAAAUACCCUAAGAUAUACCCAAGCUUACCCUUUGAUAUACCCUAAGAGUCUUAAGAGACAUGUCAAAUUAUAACUUAUCAUGCACAAGAUACUAUUAUGAUCUCAAAUAUAAGGAUCACUUGUACUACUAUCACUAGAGGAAUUCCUAGUGACAUACAAGUAAAAUUCCAUUAGGUAUUUCUUAGCGAGCCACGUUCAGUGAACUUAUUAUUUUCUAAUAAGCACCUACAUACUUGCUUUACUGUCUCCAUAAAUGAUUAUUAGAUCAAUCAUCCUCUUUCUAAGAGUAAGUAACGCAUGUACCAAUCUAUCCGGAUUCACUAAUCCACUUUUUAGUAAUACAUUGAUUGUGAACUAUUUUAGUUUUAAGAUAUCUAUGAAUUUAGAUUUCAUUAGCAUCAUCAUGAUCAUGAUUCUAAAAAGUAUUGCUUAAACUUAUGGAUUUAUCACAUAUAAUAUAAUUGCACCAUGUAGAUAAAUUAAAUGCCUUUUAAUAAAUAAUUUUUUUAUUAAUAAAUGAAUAAGAUUGUUACAAAGUAUAUGUUUUAUUAUAUCAAAUAUGAUUGGUGCAUACCACUUUCAUAAAUGUCUGUGGAUCUUGACUAUUCUAAGAAUGACACGCGUACUCAAAAUUAGGGUUUUCCAAAUGAGUCUUUUAUUAUAUUUGGGAAAAUGAGAAUUUCACCAUCUGCCUUGUGUUAGAUCUAGCCAAGUAUUAUCUUCAUCAUGUUACUUUGUCCUGUAAAUCAGUGUAGUUUACCUAGUGAACUGAAAGUUAUAUAUUUUAAUACGACUGUAGUCUUGUAUGAAAUUAGCAGUGUCAUUUGAAGGUCAUGGUUAAGCUUUUUGUGUAGAAGUUAAAAUAUAUGUAUGAAAUAUGAGUGCUUUCUAUUUAAAGCGGAAUGUACUCCAGUAGAUUUUAAGCCCUGCAUUGGUUUUAGUUACACUACCUUUGUAGAUUUACCCUUCUGGUAGUUAAUCUAAAGACUAGAACACAUCCUCUAUUCACUCAUUUUUACACUAUGCACUUGUUUUUUUUGAAGUUAUAUUUUGUUGAUUGAUGGCUGCUAUAAACAUGCUUGUUUAGAAUCUUAGGCUAAGUAUGAGGUGGUUAUAAUAAACUCUCUUUAAGACUGAUUGUAAAAGUGAACUUUUGUUGAACUGCUUUUAGAUAAGCUUACCAAUCUGAAAGGUUGUACCUCUAAGCUAUUAUCAGUAGAUACAGAGUUGAACUGUGAUCUGAAAACAGUAAUUUUAUCUACAUAACAUUUUAAAGAGUAGCAGCACGGGCGAUGGAACUCAAAAGCUCUGAAAUCUGCUGUUUGGUUAUAUUAUUAUUAAUGUCUUGCUUUUUUCUGGAUGCUUAUUCCACAUUCAGGUAUAGAAUCUGAAAGGCUGGUGGAACUUUCCUGGGCGAUAUAAUCCUAGUUCACAUGGAUUAUAGUUGAAUACUCAAAAUUGCUUUCAUUUUGAUGCUUGAAGAGGACGAACCGGAGGAGCUAGAUCUUGACCACAAGCUUGUGAAUUGGCAUACCUUUUAGUCUCUCUUGUUACAUCCUUUUGUAGCUCUUACUGCUAAAAGUUUGGACAAUUUUGGUGUUUGAUUAUUGUAAUGCUCUGGCACUGAUGAAUGGCGGAUUUUGUUGACCUAAAGCAAAUUUAUGGGAAAUGUUUCCUUUGAACUGAAUUAAUCGAUUAUUGGGAUCACAUUUGUCAAAUUGUAAAUUCAUGAGGUUGUAAAUUAAAUUUUUAAUUUUAACAAUUUAUAAGCAAAAUAUGGGUAGAGCAUGAACAAAUUGAAAUUUAAGAUCUCUUUAUAUUUGAGGAUUAAAUUUUAAUGGAUAGUAAGAAAGUAAGUUGGCGACGGAGGUAGUGCGACUAAAAUUGCUUUCUUUCUUAGAGAUCAGUGAGGUACAUUCUGACCCUAAACUCCAUUGGCAC
rnacentral:lncRNA from 1 species